CUACGGGGUGCUCCAGUGGGGAAUAUUGCACAAUGGAGGAAACUCUGAUGCAGCAACGCCGCGUGGAGGAUGACACUUUUCGGAGCGUAAACUCCUUUUAUAUAUGAAGAAGAUGACGGUACUAUAUGAAUAAGCGCCGGCUAACUCCGUGCCAGCAGCCGCGGUAAUACGGAGGGCGCAAGCGUUACUCGGAAUCACUGGGCGUAAAGAGCGUGUAGGCGGAUUAAAAAGUCAGAAGUGAAAUCCUAUAGCUUAACUAUAGAACUGCUUCUGAAACUCUUAAUCUAGAAUAUGGGAGAGGUAGAUGGAAUUUGUGGUGUAGGGGUAAAAUCCGUAGAGAUCAGAAGGAAUACCGAUUGCGAAGGCGAUCUACUAGAACAUUAUUGACGCUGAGACGCGAAAGCGUGGGGAGCAAACAGGAUUAGAUACCCGCGUAGUC
rnacentral:rRNA from 1 species